rnacentral:misc_RNA from 1 species
UCCGGUUCAUCACCAGCAGUCUCCUUAGAGUCCCCGCCAUUACGCGCUGGUAACUAAGGAUAAGGGUUGCGCUCGUUACGGGACUUAACCCAACAUCUCACAACACGAGCUGACGACAGCCAUGCAGCACCUGUCUCUAAGUUCCUUUCGGCACUCCCGCAUCUCUGCAGGAUUCUUAGGAUGUCAAGGGUAGGUAAGGUUCUUCGCGUUGCAUCGAAUUAAACCACAUGCUCCACCGCUUGUGCGGGCCCCCGUCAAUUUCUUUGAGUUUUAAUCUUGCGACCGUACUCCCCAGGCGGAAAACUUAUCGCGUUAGCUUCGAUACUGAUAGGUCUAAGCCUACCAACAUCUAGUUUUCAUCGUUUACGGCGUGGACUAC